rnacentral:lncRNA from 1 species
AGACCUGGAGAUCAGGAACACCAGGGGUGGAGCGUGGAGCAGGGGCUUCCAACCAACCCAGGAGCUCUCUCCCACUUUAAUGUUUAGACUGGAGGAAGCCGCGCUUGAAAAUCAGGACUGGAGCUGAGGGUGGAGCUACACGGUGGCAUAACGUGUGGGCGGCUCCAUUCAUUCUGUGUGACUGCGGCUGCUGCAGGGGAAGCCAGGGGCUGCUGAGGAGCAGGAGGAGGAGGAGGAUGCUGGAGCUGUGUGUGCAUGGGAGAGCGUGGGCCCGGCGCUCCUCUCAGCGGGCCAACAAAAGGUAAGAAAAUGGUCCAGU